GGGUAAAUAGUGAGGGUUUUGGAAUGUUUUGGAAAGAGAUGGCUCAUCUUUUCAAAUGGAUGGUCGUGACUAGGAGUUGACUCGAGCUCUCUUCUGGAGUUGACUUGAGCUAGAGUCAACUUGAACUUAAGUACAAGUCGACUCAAACUCAAUCCCAAAUCAAAAAUAUAAAAUUUUUGCAAGAAAAAUAAAUAUUUAAAACAAGAGAUGACUCAAGGGAGUUCAACCAAGAUAUAAUAAGCAUGAAAUCAACCAAUUUGUGAUUCAAGAAAAGAUCACAUUUAAGAAUCUCAAGG
rnacentral:lncRNA from 1 species